UUUGGGAGCGGGCUGCGAGAGUCCCGUCGCUCCGCGUUGAACUCGGCCGGUGGGCGAGGGGCCGCGCGUUCCCCGAAAUCCUUCGGGCUCCGGCACGGCAGCGUGGCCGAGCUGGGCGUGCUGAGCGGGUGUAGCGGCAGCACGUGCCCGGGAGACGGGAGAGAGGCGGCGGGGCUCCGGCCCGGCCCUGUCAUCUGCUCGCACCGCGUGCCUCCGUGCUGCGGCCUAACAGCUGGCGGGCCCCGGUUCCACGGGCCUGGGAGACAGCUGCCUUCUUGUUUCGCUUCACCUGGGAGCUGGAAACUCCUUCUUGACGAAACCCAAGCCGUGCGGCUUCCGGACAUCUUGAAGAAAAGGUGCUCCGGUGGUUGGCGUGGAGGGAAGGGGCUGAAGGAGGAGGAGACCUCAGGCCUACCGCAGUACGUCCAGCAUGGCCGUGUUCACUCAGCUUCUGCUGGCAGCAGGGAACUUCCAAAAACUGGAAGUACGACUUGUCAUACUGUGAGAGUGUGUAGCUGCACCGAGUGCCUGGAAGUCGCUCAAUAAGCACGUGCUGGACGCGACUGCAAUCCGUAGCUGGAACACUACACAGCGAUUGGAUUUGUGCAAAGUAGUUGGCUAUCCUCCGUAUCUCUCUGUAAAAAGUAUUCUCAGUGGUUUCUUUGUAAACUAAAAGUAAAAAUAAUGCAAUGGCUUAUAAAUACAACAUGAAAUCUUAA